UGCAAGUCGAGCGGUAACAGAUCUAGCUUGCUAGAUGCUGACGAGCGGCGGACGGGUGAGUAACGCGUAGGAAACUGCCGAGUAGUGGGGGAUAGCCCAGAGAAAUUUGGAUUAAUACCGCAUACGCCCUACGGGGGAAAGGAGGGGAUCUUCGGACCUUUCGCUAUUCGAUGUGCCUGCGUGAGAUUAGCUUGUUGGUGAGGUAAAGGCUCACCAAGGCGACGAUCUCUAGCUGGUUUGAGAGGAUGAUCAGCCACACUGGGACUGAGACACGGCCCAGACUCCUACGGGAGGCAGCAGUGGGGAAUAUUGCACAAUGGGGGAAACCCUGAUGCAGCCAUGCCGCGUGUGUGAAGAAGGCCUUCGGGUUGUAAAGCACUUUCAGCAGUGAGGAAAGGUUGUAAGUUAAUACCUUGCAGCUAUGACGUUAACUGCAGAAGAAGGACCGGCUAACUCCGUGCCAGCAGCCGCGGUAAUACGGAGGGUCCGAGCGUUAAUCGGAAUUACUGGGCGUAAAGCGCGCGUAGGCGGCUAGGUCAGUCAGAUGUGAAAGCCCCGGGCUUAACCUGGGAAUUGCAUCUGAUACUGCUUGGCUAGAGUACAGAAGAGGGUGGUGGAAUUUCCUGUG
rnacentral:rRNA from 1 species